AUGUCGUCCAGCCUAGCUCUCAGCCCGUUCAAGACUAGCCCGAGCAACAUGGCCCUGUGCUUCCUCUUCGACUGCAACGGGACGGAGCCACGGGGUCCUGGCUACACGAACGCCACCGCCGGCUGCGAUAAGCCCAUCUACGCGUACCUGGGCGGGAUCUACGACCGGGACACGCCGCCGGCGAUCCCCACCGGAAACUGCACGUACACCUACCUCCCGGUGCUCGGGGCGGAGGCGGCGGCCGCCGACUACAGCCAGCUGCUGAAGGCUGGGUUCGUCCUGGACUGGGAGGGCACCGGAGUCGGGGAAUGCCCCGCUUGCAUUGCUAGCGGUGGCCAGUGCCGAUACAACACCUCCAAAGCGAAGUUCCUGUGCCUCUGCCCCGAUGGCAUGCUGCACGGGUCGACAUGUGCCGCUUUGGCGGCCGCUUAG
rnacentral:rRNA from 1 species